rnacentral:tRNA from 2 species
GCGGGUGUAACUCAUCGGUAGAGUGUUAGCUUCCCAAGCUGAAAGUAGCGGGUUCGAUUCCCGUCACCCGCUCCA